CAGCCGCCACGGGAAUACGUAGGUGGCAAGCGUUGUCCGGAAUUAUUGGGCGUAAAGGGCUCGCAGGCGGUUUCUUAAGUCUGAUGUGAAAGCCCCCGGCUCAACCGGGGAGGGUCAUUGGAAACUGGGAAACUUGAGUGCAGAAGAGGAGAGUGGAAUUCCACGUGUAGCGGUGAAAUGCGUAGAGGUGUGGAGGAACACCAGUGGCGAAGGCGACUCUCUGGUCUGUAACUGACGCUGAGGAGCGAAAGCGUGGGGAGCGAACUGGAUUAGAUACCCCUGUAGUCCCUGUCUCUUAUAC
rnacentral:rRNA from 1 species